UUUGUUUACUACGCAAAAAAUUACUUUUUAAAAAAAAAAAUAGUUUUAAUUAGUUCAUGUGUUACCUCCUUGUUUAAAAAAUAUAUUUUGCUUGUAGAAUUUUUAAUAGACAAAUUUCAACAAAGGAUAACUUAAUUCACCGUGGUGUGGUACCGUCUGAUUCGUUGCUUUGCGUAUGAGGAUGUCGAAAGGAGGAACAAAGGAAACAAAUAAUCAUCUUUUUCACUAAUUGUGAUUUUUUUGGUGGUGUCUGAGAUAUUGUUUUGCGGUGGUUGAGAAUUCUCUAUCAUCCCAGCCAACAUUGGCGAUCAUGCUAUGCAAUUUGACAUAUGUUUAAAAAAGGAUAUUUGUUCUUACUUUCAGGUAAUUUGGUUGUCUUGUAUAUGAACUAUUUGGUAAGAGCGGAGCGCUAGAAUUUUUUUUGUAACGUAAAGAUUACUUUUCAGCAGCUACUUAAUUGCAUCAAACUUCACUCUUGAUGGCAAAUUCUUUCAUAGAUUUUCAUUCUCGGUGGUUUAACCUCUUGGUUUGUAUGAGCCUAGUCACUAUGUGAUUUAUUUUUC
rnacentral:lncRNA from 1 species